rnacentral:rRNA from 1 species
UGGGGAAUAUUGCACAAUGGGCGAAAGCCUGAUGCAGCGACGCCGCGUGCGGGAUGAAGGCCUUCGGGUUGUAAACCGCUUUUAAUUGGGAGCAAGCGAGAGUGAGUGUACCUUUUGAAUAAGCACCGGCUAACUACGUGCCAGCAGCCGCGGUAAUACGUAGGGUGCAAGCGUUAUCCGGAAUUAUUGGGCGUAAAGAGCUCGUAGGCGGUUUGUCACGCCUGGUGUGAAAGUCCAUCGCUUAACGGUGGAUCUGCGCCGGGUACGGGCAGGCUAGAGUGCAGUAGGGGAGAUUGGAAUUCCCGGUGUAACGGUGGAAUGUGUAGAUAUCGGGAAGAACACCAAUGGCGAAGGCAGAUCUCUGGGCUGUUACUGACGCUGAGGAGCGAAAGCAUGGGGAGCGAACAGGAUUAGAUACCCUGGUAGUCCAUGCCGUAAACGGUGGAUGCUGGAUGUGGGACCCUUCCACGGGUUCCGUGUCGGAGCUAACGCGUUAAGCAUCCC